CCCUUACGGGCGAAGAUAAGACGGAUUAGCGGCGGACGGGUGAGUAACACGUGAGUAACCUGCCUUUUACACAGGGAUAGCCUCGGGAAACCGGGAUUAAAACCUGAUGAAACUAUCAAAUCACAUGAUUAAGAAAGUUAAAACUCCGGUGGUAAAAGAUGGACUCGCGUCCCAUUAGCUAGUUGGUGAAGGUAACGGCCCACCAAGGCAACGAUGGGUAGCCGGCCUGAGAGGGUGAACGGCCACAUUGGAACUGAGAAACGGUCCAAACUCCUACGGGAGGCAGCAGUU
rnacentral:rRNA from 1 species